ACUAACAACUUGAAGGCAAACGUUGGCAACCACAGCCUCUCGUUUAUGUAACAAAUAUGUAAAGGGGCACAGUGCUAGGAACGUAAUGGUUUGGGGAAUAGGUGGUGAUCUUUAAAUCGCCCCUUUCUUCUAUAUAUUGUCACCAUGGCCAGAGUUGGAAGAGCCUUCCACGUACCUCUCCUGCUUGGCCACCAUCCUGCCUCGCUGCCUGAUGUCGUCCUAAACGAGGUACCAGGAGACACGGUUGCACACAGUGACUGCUCCACCUGCCACCUGGUCGCAGGGACCAUUUUCUAGCAUGCUAGGAGAGCCGGGCUGGAUGCAUAGAACAUUCCUAAUCAUAAUCAGAAGCCUCAGCAGCGAGUUGUAUCUCUUUCGGAAGCAUUAAGUGAUUACAGUCCAUGUCUGAAGGAAAAAAGGCCAUGGCAGGUGAUGUUUUCAGAAGCUGAUCUCCGUGGCUAAAGGAAUGAUUAAGCAAGCUGUUUUCAUCUACACCGAGUCACUUUCAGCAGACCUCUAACUGUGAGCAAAGAAUUGUGAAGACUGUUCUAGAGAGAAAUCAGCACAGUGCAACCAAGCCAGCCUGUAAAUGUACUUCCUUGCCCCUCUCUCUCUACAAACCAGCAUCUCUGUUAAUGCAGCUUUCAAAAGCAGUGUAUAUAAAUCACACACUAUGAGUACCAGCACAUAAAAAGACAGAUUUGAUAACCCACAGUUUGGCUCUGAUUCU